rnacentral:rRNA from 1 species
GAUGAACGCUAGCGGCAGGCUUAACACAUGCAAGUCGAGGGGUAACAUGAAAAGCUUGCUUUUCUGAUGACGACCGGCGCACGGGUGCGUAACGCGUAUACAACCUACCUUUUAGCGGGGAAUAGCCCAGGGAAACUUGGAUUAAUGCCCCAUAGUAUAUAGACUUCUCCUGAAGUUUAUAUUAAACAUUUAUGGCUAUUAGAUGGGUAUGCGUCCUAUUAGUUAGUUGGUAAGGUAACGGCUUACCAAGGCAGCGAUAGGUAGGGGUCCUGAGAGGGAGAUCCCCACACUGGUACUGAGACACGGACCAGACUCCUACGGGAGGCAGCAGUGAGGAAUAUUGGACAAUGGGCGAGAGCCUGAUCCAGCCAUGCCGCGUGCAGGAAGACUGCCCUAUGGGUUGUAAACUGCUUUUACAGAGGAAGAACCACCCCCACGUGUGGGGGUUUGACGGUACUCUGCGAAUAAGGAUCGGCUAACUCCGUG